AUUGAACGCUGGCGGCAUGCCUUACACAUGCAAGUCGAACGGUAACAGGUCUUCGGAUGCUGACGAGUGGCGAACGGGUGAGUAAUACAUCGGAACGUGCCUAGUAGUGGGGGAUAACUACUCGAAAGAGUGGCUAAUACCGCAUGAGAUCUACGGAUGAAAGCAGGGGAUUGCAAGACCUUGUGCUACUAGAGCGGCCGAUGGCAGAUUAGGUAGUUGGUGGGAUAAAAGCUUACCAAGCCGACGAUCUGUAGCUGGUCUAAGAGGACGAUCAGCCACACUGGGACUGAGACACGGCCCAGACUCCUACGGGAGGCAGCAGUGGGGAAUUUUGGACAAUGGGCGCAAGCCUGAUCCAGCAAUGCCGCGUGCAGGAUGAAGGCCUUCGGGUUGUAAACUGCUUUUGUACGGAACGAAAAGCCCCGGGUUAAUACCCUGGGGUCAUGACGGUACCGUAAGAAUAAGCACCGGCUAACUACGUGCCAGCCGCCGCCGUAA
rnacentral:rRNA from 1 species